CCCCUCUCAGGGUUGCACCUGGAGAGUUUCCAGUCCUCUACCAGUCUCGGCUAUGGGAGGGAGAGUCAAGCAGAGGCCUGUCCGUUCCAUUCCUAGCUUGGCCAGUGGCUAGCGAGUGGCAGGCCAUCUGCCACAGGU
rnacentral:snoRNA from 1 species